GAAGGUUUCUCCUUGUACUCCCGGAGAUGACAGAGAGGCUUGUUUGAACCAAACUUGAUCUUUCAAAAGAAAGGGAAAACUUGAAGCCUCUAACUCUUGGGAGUGGCAAAGAGAACAGCCAGAGGGCCGUGAGCUAACUUCUAUUCUCCAGAGAUCUUGAAUAGAUUUGGCAGUCCCUUGGCUUCUGUUGAAAACAAGGGCUGCUAAUUAUACUUCUGCCAAUGGAAAACAACAGGCAGCGCCUAGGCUCGGGAGGUCACGAUGACACGCCAAUAUCAUGCUUGUGGAGUGUGGUUUGCUCCCAGAUAAAGCACCACUGAAGUGUAUGUCACAUGCUUGGUGCUGGGACCCAUUCAUGAGAAUGGAAUCUAAUAAAAAUGCAAAGGGAAUCUGGUGAAGUGAUUUCCUUCUUCCCUUAAAUUGUAUCUUGGCUAUAAUAUUUUCUGACACUAGAAAUAAAUUAAUUUCAUGUUUAGAUCCUUCUUUCUACAUCCCCUCCAACUGGAACAAAAGUGGUUUAGAUUAACUAGGUAUGACAGGUUCAGAGACCACAGGGUUUUCCAUUCUGUAACUGCCGAAAGACAAAGGGCACAAAAAAUACAGAUGUUUUCGCCUUGCUGCUACAAAAGCGCAGUGGACUAACUCCCUGCCUGUGGAAUGCAAAUUUUCUUUCACAGUUUAGCAGUCUUUUUUGGAUUUCAGCACAGUGAACUAACACUUUCCUGGAUUCCAAGACCUCCAGAGAACCAGAUGGAUGAGAGAAAUUGGGAAAAAGAACCCACACUGCUUGAAAAAGGAAGUAUACAGAUCUCUUCAUGACUACAAUGAAACCCAGCUCUUGCUAAUGGUAAGAAAUUUCACAGUCUUCAUGCUUCUGAUAUCCAACCACUCUACUAGAUACCUUUUGCCAACCAGAUUACUUGUAGUUCUAUAAAUAUAGCAGGUAGGAGGCUUG
rnacentral:lncRNA from 1 species